UCUGCUCUCGCUCGGCACUGGGGGCCUGUUCGGCUCCGGCCCGGGUGGUGGCUCCCCGCGGUUCGUGCCCGAGGUGCAGAAC
rnacentral:tRNA from 1 species